GAGGACUCCAACCAGACACCAUCAGCACUGUAGGCCCCUUGGCCGCUGCAGCUUAGCUGGGGUCUCACCAUCCCUACCCACCCUGGACCAAAAUCCUGGCUCCAGCUCCCAGUAGGAAGGCCUCUUCUCCAAGAGAGUAUAGCUGUGAAGCUCUUAUAAGAGCUAGUGGUUAUAGCUUGUAUAGCAGGUCCCUACAAACACAAGGCAAG